rnacentral:rRNA from 1 species
AUUGAACGCUGGCGGCAUGCCUUACACAUGCAAGUCGAACGGCAGCACGGGAGCAAUCCUGGUGGCGAGUGGCGAACGGGUGAGUAAUAUAUCGGAACGUGCCCAGUAGUGGGGGAUAACUGCUCGAAAGAGCAGCUAAUACCGCAUACGACCUGAGGGUGAAAGGGGGGGAUCGCAAGACCUCUCGCUAUUGGAGCGGCCGAUAUCAGAUUAGCUAGUUGGUGGGGUAAAGGCCUACCAAGGCAACGAUCUGUAGUUGGUCUGAGAGGACGACCAGCCACACUGGGACUGAGACACGGCCCAGACUCCUACGGGAGGCAGCAGUGGGGAAUUUUGGACAAUGGGCGCAAGCCUGAUCCAGCAAUGCCGCGUGCAGGAAGAAGGCCUUCGGGUUGUAAACUGCUUUUGUCAGGGAAGAAAUCCUCUAGGUUAAUACCCUUGGGGGGAUGACGGUACCUGAAGAAUAAGCACCGGCUAACUACGUGCCAGCCGCCGCAGUAACAC